AACGCGAAGAACCUUACCAGCCUUUGACAUGCCGUAUGGACUGGAGACAGGGUUAGUGGCUGGCGGGAACACAGGUGCUGCAUGGCUGGAGCGUGGUGAGAUGUUGGGUUAAGCCGCAACGAGCGCAACCCGCCCUUAGUUGCCAAUUUGGUUGGGCACUAAGGGGACUGCCGGUGAUAAGCCGAGAGGAAGGUGGGGAUGACGAAGCAUGGCCCUUACGGGCUGGGCUACACACGUGCUACAAUGGCGGUGACAAAGGGCAGCGAACCCGCGAGGGGGAGCUAACUUAAAAGCAGCCAGUGUAUUGCAGUGCAACGACUGCAUGAAGUUGGAAGCUAGUAAGCGGAAGCACGCCGCGGUGAAUACGUCCGGGUUGUACACACCG
rnacentral:rRNA from 1 species